CCUACGGGUGGCAGCAGUCGAGAAUCAUGCACAAUGGGGGAAACCCUGAUGGGGCGACGCCGCGUGGGGGAAGGAAGGUCUGCGGAUUGUAAACCCCUGUCAUGGGGGAGCAAAGUAAAAAGAUAGUACCACAAGACGAAGAGACUGCUAACUCUGUGCCAGCAGCCGCGGUAAGACAGAGGGCUCAAGCGUUGAUCGGCAGAGCUGGGCGUAAAGCGUGCGUAGGCUGUUUCGUAAGACGUGUGUGAAAGGCGCGGGCUCAACCCGCGGACGGCACAUGAUACUGCGAGACUAGAGUAAGGGAGGGGGAACCGGAAUUCUCGGUGUAGCAGU
rnacentral:rRNA from 1 species